AUUUGUUUAUUUCUCUCUUGUCAACACGGUGCACUUGCAUUCACAUUUUGCAGCUUUGUUCCUCUCUUAUCAACACGGUGAACUUGCGUUCACAUUUUGUAGCUGCCUCUCGUAACUCCUCCCCUCUCCCCCUCCUGUUUCACAAAGCACUGCUGUGCAGACACACUCCCCUCCCUCGCUCACAGCUCUCCUCCUUCCCCCCAAAUCUUGCUUCCUUCUCAACGGGCUGCCUCCUUCCUUGGCAUUCCUUGCAUCUCUCACCGGCGGCCAUUGGUGCUGCCCAAGCAAGUUCCGAUAUACUCUCGUCGACCGGGAUAGCUUGAUUCGUACUGUCCUCGUAAACCUGAUCGAGGACGAGUGCUGUGAAAUCUACUGCGGGUUCUUUGAUUUGUUCCUGUUUAUCUUCUGUUUGCGCAUCAGCCAACUGUCAACAAAGAACGCUCUGUCGAAAAGGUCAACGACAAAGGUAGCUGCUGUUGGUUGGAGCUAACCAGGAUUCACAUCGGUGGGCUCGAUGUGACGUCCUCACGUCUUCGUAGUCAUCAUUAUUUUUAAACUGAAGUUCUAUUUAAAUUUCACUGCAGGUUGAACUCUGAUAACUUAUAUUUAAACUAGUUUGUAAAACUUUGCAUGAUAAAUUUAAUUUUGAGAAUUUUGUUUGCUUGUAAUCAUCUACGCUCUUUUUCAUGCGAGACUUCCAGUGUUUUCGAUCCUUAACCAAGCAGGCUGCCAGGUUAUACCGUUUUAAGUGCGUGGUACCUUCAUUAAUCAUUAAGAUUAUAGUUAGCGCACUUAAGCCGGUUUAAUUUGUGCGGUUCUGUUACACUAUACUUUCAAACUUCUCUAUAAUUUUUAAAUCCAGAUAUUCGCCAUCAAGGGGAUCAAUUUCCUUCUGAGAACUUUUCUUAUAUGAAGGCUUAUUUGAUCCUUCUUCCUUGGUAUUGAUUGGGGUAUUUUGCUGCAUAAUACCUUUGUUUUUUGCCAUCUUGAACUUUUGUAUAUAUUCUUUGGCUAUGGGCUCAAUAUAAUAGUUGACACCAAGCAUUGCCCUUGCCUUAUUUAGAGCUUCAUCUAUUUCUGUUUCUUCCAUGACAUUCCAGUUCCUUCCACUUUAGCUUCCAUCUUCUGGUAUAUUAUUUCUUCAAAUGUAAUAUAUAUUCCUGGCUUUGGACCUUCAAAUUCCACAUAUAUUGGUCUUUGCUGGAUUAAUUCAGUAGCAUUUGAUAUUGGUAGCAUACUAUUUAUUAAAUGAAAAUAUUCAGCAAGACUAUUGAGUAUUGAGAGCAUAUAUCAUUUUUCUUCUCUUUUAUUAUUAUAUUGGUACUAGAAAUUGUCAAGUAUGCAUUCAUGAACUUCAUCUAGGACAAUAAGAUCUCUGGGCUUGAACUUAUAUGAGUUUGGAGGAAACACUCGAAGCUUGUUUUCAGGAGAAAAGACAAAAGUCUCAAUGCCUGAGAAGUUGGUUGUCUUCUUCAUCAUUCUGCAAGAAAGAAGAACGAGAAAACAAGCCAGGUGCAUUUUUUAAUCCUAAUGGCAUAACAAGCCAUUUAUAGUGACCUUGUGGACAUGUGAAGGCUGUCCAAGGUAUAGAUUCUUCUGCCAUUUUUACUUGCCAGAAACCAGCUUUUAAGUCAAAUUUUGAGAAGUAUUUACUACCUUGUAUUCUAUUAAUCCAUUCUUGCUUAUUCGGUAUACUAUAGGCAUCAUCUAUUGUAUUAUCAUUUAGCUUUUUGUAAUUAAUUACCAUUCUCGACUUCCCUCUAGCUAUUUCAUUAUUGUUUCUAACUAUAAAGUCUGUUGAUCUAUGCGGGCUUCUACUUUCUCUGAUUGCUCCUAACUUUAGUAACUCUUCAAUAUGCAUUUUGAACUCUUCUAUAUCUUUUGGAGUGGCUUCUAUUGGGCCGGUUUUAAUUAUAUAAUCAGGAUUAAUAAUAUUUAUUUUACAGAUUAUAGUAUUUUUUUCCCAAUGCUUCAUUGG